UUACAGGUCUGGCAAUUGGAAUGAGGACAAUUUAAAUCCCUUAUCGAGUAUCAAUUGGAGGGCAAGUCUGGUGCCAGCAGCCGCGGUAAUUCCAGCUCCAAUAGCGUAUAUUAAAGUUGUUGCAGUUAAAAAGCUCGUAGUUGGAUUUCUGGUGGGAGCGAUCGGUCUGGCGCUUAGCGCGAGUACUUGCAUCGUCUCCGGCCAUCCUUGGGGAGAGUUUGUCUGGCAUUAAGUUGUCGGGCAGAGGAUCCUCAUCGUUUACUGUGAAAAAAUUAGAGUGUUCAAAGCAGGCUUAUGCCGUUGAAUAUAUUAGCAUGGAAUAAUGAUAUAGGACCUUGGUACUAUUUUGUUGGUUUGCGCACUAAGGUAAUGAUUAAGAGGGACAGUUGGGGGUAUUUGUAUUCCAUUGUCAGAGGUGAAAUUCUUGGAUUUAUGGAAGACGAACUACUGCGAAAGCAUUUACCAAGGAUGUUUUCAUUAAUCAAGAACGAAAGUUAGGGGAUCGAAGAUGAUUAGAUACCAUCGUAGUCUUAACCAUAAACUAUGCCGACUAGGGAUUG
rnacentral:rRNA from 1 species